GUUUAUGGCCAUGCCAUCCUGAACAAGCCUGAUCCCAUCCGAUUUCGGAAGCUAAGCAGGGUCGGGCCUGGUUAGUACUUGGAUGGGAGACCACCUAGAAAGACCAGGUGCUGUAGGCA
rnacentral:rRNA from 1 species